GAGUUUGAUCCUGGCUCAGAUUGAACGCUGGCGGCAUGCCUUACACAUGCAAGUCGAACGGCAGCACGGGAGCAAUCCUGGUGGCGAGUGGCGAACGGGUGAGUAAUGUAUCGGAACGUACCUUUCAGUGGGGGAUAACGUAGCGAAAGUUACGCUAAUACCGCAUAUUCUGUGAGCAGGAAAGCAGGGGAUCGCAAGACCUUGCGCUGAUUGAGCGGCCGAUAUCAGAUUAGCUAGUUGGUGAGGUAAAGGCUCACCAAGGCGACGAUCUGUAGCGGGUCUGAGAGGAUGAUCCGCCACACUGGAACUGAGACACGGUCCAGACUCCUACGGGAGGCAGCAGUGGGGAAUUUUGGACAAUGGGGGCAACCCUGAUCCAGCCAUGCCGCGUGAGUGAAGAAGGCCUUCGGGUUGUAAAGCUCUUUCGGCCGGGAAGAAAUCGCAUCAGCUAAUACCUGGUGUGGAUGACGGUACCGGAAUAAGAAGCACCGGCUAACUACGUGCCAGCAGCCGCGGUAAUAC
rnacentral:rRNA from 1 species